UCAAAGGAGUAGGUUCAAUAAGACCCCUUUUUGGCCCCAAAAUAUAGCAGUUUUACAAAAUUGUGAUAAUGUAAUCAUGAAGCUAUUUAUUGGAAAGUAGAAUGAUUCUGCUACAUAAAUAUGGGCUGUUUUUUGACAAUACAAUGCACAUAUAUCGGGUACUAGCAUCAUAAAGUCAUGCUAAAUUACUGAAAUCUUCACAGAAUUAGCAUUUUAGUUAAAUUUUAGACGGUUUCUGUCUAAAAUGAAAGUGGC
rnacentral:lncRNA from 1 species